CUUCUGUAUACUGAGGUUGGUCGCCCUUUAUCCUCAAUGGAGGAUAAAUGGACAUUGACUUCAUUUUCCAGAACCCAUCAGAGUUAUCGUGUGGUAAAAUAUGUACUCCUAACUAGAGGUGCACUACACAGCAUUGAGUGGAAAAGGCUUUGCCCGUAUGCAAGUUUGCUAUGUUCUCUGGAAGCUCCAGUUGGGGGCAUCAAGGACAUACCGAUGGCCUAAACCAGUGUCAGCCUGGACAGAUAUCUAUUGCAGUUCUGCUACACCACACCAAACUCUCUGCUUUUGUAUGGAUGUCUACUACGGUGUUCUCCCAAGGAAUUACUGGAGCAAAACAAGAGCACCCGUUUCAGUGAAAUUUGUGUUCAUAAAGGAUAGUGAUAUAUGUGUGACAGGUCCAGUACAUUUGUCUCAAAGGUUAAAUUGCGGAGUUAUUUUUUGAAUUUGGAAAUGUUUUUUCUUCUUCCCUUCUCUCUCUCCAAACUAAACAUUGGUUUGUGCUCGUUUUGGUGAUUUCAAUGUAAUAUUUGACUCAUUUGCCAUGAAGCUAUAGUUUCUCCAUGUACAGCAACGGUCCCAAGUCCAAAAAAGGAACUAAAAAACAUUGAUCCUAUCUUCAGUGGUUCAACUGUAAUCAUACAAAGCUCAGAAACACAUUUGUGCAUCAAAAGUACUGUAAAAAUAACUUGUUUGCCUCUGCCACAACAGGUCAGCGCUUACUGCUCGUAGUAAACACAACAACAGGUUAGGGUGUGUGCUUACUGCUCGUAGUAAACACACACCCUAAUCUGAUGCAGGAAAAAUAUACGCAACAAAUUUGUAUUUACUGUUUUGUUUUGCCUCACUAAAGUGUUGUUGGAGCUUGGUAUGAUCACAGUUGAACCACUGAAGUCACAUGGAACUUUUGACAAUGUUUUUUUUUGUGCCUUAUCUGGACUAUGACCAUCUCAGGACCAUUGCUGUCUGUAGAGGAUGAGGAGCAUUUAAUCUAAAUAUUCUAGUUUGGGCUGUGAAGAUGAACAGGUCUCUGGGAUGACACAAGUAAGUAAUUCAUAACAGAACGCUUCAUGUGACCUUUUUUUAAAGACCAAUGUAAUAGUGAAAUUUAUCUACUAGGUGAAUAGUCCUACAUUCACAAACGUGAGCCAUCAUUGUAGAAACUAUGUGUACAUGCAGUUUUAAUGAUACUAAUAAUAUUGGAAUAACAAAUUGCUAUUAUUGUUGUAUUGUGAUUUAAGUUGGGUGACGCAGUGGCGCAGUAGGUAGUGAUGUCGCCUCACUGCAAGAAGGUCACUGGUUCGAGCCUCAUCUGGGUCAGUUGGCGUUUCUUUGUGGACUUUGCAUGUUGUCCCUGCGUUCGCGUGGGUUUCCUCCGGGUGCUCCGGUUUCUCCCACAGUCCAAAGACAUGUAAUACAGGUGAAUUGGGAGGCUAAUUUGUCUGUAGUGUAUGAGUGUGAGUGAGUGUGUAUGGAUGUUUCCCAGAGAUGGGUUGCAGCUGGAAGGGCAUCUGCUGCGUAAAACAUGUGCUGGAUAAGUUGGCGGAUCGUUCCACUGUGGCGACCCCGGUUUAGGGACUAAGCCGAAAAGAAAAUGAAUGAAAGAAUGAAUGUGAUUUAAGUUAUAGGCUAUAAUAACAGUCAAAUAGGUCUGAACAUGUUAAGGUGUAACUGUUGUGUUUGUGAAAGAGAAUUGAAUCAUAUAUUCUACACUUCUUGAUGAUUUACUGAAUUAUUUCUCUACAUGUUCCACUGUCACAUGUGCUCAGUUUUGCUGCAGUAAUGCUAAACACAAUAGAUGUACUUUAUGUAAAAAGACUAAAACAACUAAAUAUUUAGCAUGCAGACAUGCAAAGUGAAGGUGCAAUGUCAGAUAGCAAUGUUUCAUAUAGAUUAUAGCAGGAGUUUUCACUAUUAUGAAACUGAAGUCAUUCAUUCACAAUGAAUUGGAGUGGCAAACCUCAUAAUGAUUUUGUAGGAUACUCCAGCCUGAUCUCACGAGAAAACGUAAGUAUUUUACAUUUUGUCAGUUUAGUGGAGCAAAUCUAAAAUGACAUACUGCUUCCCUCAUGCAACAGUUUCUGAUGUAAACAAAGAGCUUAAGGAAGCUCUGAAAAAACACAAGACUGCAAAACGGAUUAUCAUCCAUGUGGGGAAGAAUGAUAUUCGGAAUGAACAGUCAGAACUGCUCAAGAGAGAUUUCUGUGAGCUCUUGGAAACAGUUGAAAGAGUGAAAAUUCAGCCGUUCAUCAGUGGACCACUCACUGCAAGAGGGACAAAUAUGUUUUCAUGGCUUCUUGGUCUAAAUGUAUGGCUGCAGAAAACAUGUAACAGGAAAGGACUGAAUUUUAUUGACAACUUCAAUGUCUUCUGGAACCAAAGACAACUGUUGACAUCAGACGGCCUUCACCCAGUCAAACUUGGUGCAAAGGUGCUAAAGGACGAUAUCUUUUUCUUCCUCCAUCAUCCAUCUGCUGCGUGUGCCACUGACCUCAAUCCAAAUGGCACAUACACACCUAGCAAAUGUCCGGAUGACCACAGGACCUCAAAGCUCCUGAGUGGACUUGGGGCUGACACAUCACCCAAGGACAGUGAUAAUGCUACGCUGCCAAAACACCCACUGUUGAUAGAGACACUGUCACUGGCCCUCUGCUCAACACAGACAGACUGUGACACAUCAGAACAGCAUCUCGUCACUCAAAAAUUAUCCUCAGGAAAACAGCCAGGAAAACAUAUUUCAGCAGCCAAAAUCUCCAGAGCCACAGCCUCUGUCACCAGACACAUUCUCAUUGUCACCUUGCUCUCCUCUCUUGGGUUUCUCAAAAAAAGAUGGAGGAACUGGUGCAUGCUGGAACUAAAUUUUCACACUCCAUUGCCGCAAGCCCCCAGUUACCAACCAAAAAGCGGCCUGCUCCACAACCACCUCUGAGCCCACCUGGAAGAGCCCUCUGACUUUUGCAAACAACAACGCACCAUCUUCAGCUGGUGAACAAAACAGCUCUCCAUAAUGUGUCUCGGGUGCCUGCUUAGAUAACAGUCUUUAUCAGAUGUUUACAGAAUAAUCAGGAACCCAGUGUGCCUGUAGCUUUCUCUACACAUAUAUGUGUUGUAUUACGUGACAGAAAACCGAAGACUUCUUCAGGUCGUAUAGCAAAUCAUUCAAAUCUUGUGUCUAUUAAAUACUAAUCUGACA